AUUUGAUGAUGAGGGUAUUGAAUGCACAAUAGCUCAAUUUUUUCCCAAUACUCAACAAGUGUUUCUCCAUGAGAUUGUCGAAUCCCACAUAUUUCUUUUCUUAUGUU
rnacentral:snoRNA from 1 species